rnacentral:rRNA from 1 species
AGUUUGAUCAUGGCUCAGAUUGAACGCUGGCGGCAUGCCUUACACAUGCAAGUCGAACGGCAGCACGGGAGCAAUCCUGGUGGCGAGUGGCGAACGGGUGAGUAAUGUAUCGGAACGUGCCUUGUCGUGGGGGAUAACGUAGCGAAAGCUACGCUAAUACCGCAUACCAUCUAAGGAUGAAAGCGGGGAUCGCAAGACCUCGCGCGACAAGAGUGGCCGAUAUCAGAUUAGGUUGUUGGUGGGGUAAAGGCCUACCAAGCCGACGAUCUGUAGCUGGUCUGAGAGGACGACCAGCCACACUGGGACUGAGACACGGCCCAGACUCCUACGGGAGGCAGCAGUGGGGAAUUUUGGACAAUGGGCGAAAGCCUGAUCCAGCAAUGCCGCGUGCAGGAUGAAGGCCUUCGGGGUUGUAAACUGCUUUUGUACAGAACGAAACAGUCUCUCCUAAUACGGGGGGCGAAUGACGGUACUGUAAGAAUAAGCACCGGCUAACUACGUG